rnacentral:rRNA from 1 species
GACAGAGGGGGCAAGCGUUGCUCGGAAUCACUGGGCGUAAAGGGCGCGUAGGCGGGAUGGCAAGUCGGUCGUGAAAUCCUUCGGCUCAACCGAAGAACGUCGGCCGAUACUGCUGUUCUUGAGGGAUGCAGAGGAGAUUGGAAUUCCCGGUGUAGCGGUGAAAUGUGUAGAGAUCGGGAGGAACGACCGGUGGCGAAGGCGGGUUUCUGGCUGAUUACUGACGCUGAGGUGCGAAAGCUAGGGGAGCGAACGGG